rfam:Rattus norvegicus chromosome 10, whole genome shotgun sequence.
GGGGAUUUAGCUCAGUGGUAGAGUGCUUGCCUAGGAAGCACAAGGCCCUGGGUUCAGUCCCCA